AAUUGCAGUACCUACUUCUGUUCUCUUGUUGACUCUCUUCAUUACCCCUUGUGUCAUCAUGAAAUGUAAAAGUAGAAGAGGGAACCAGGAAAAUACUAUAUAUGCGGUUCCUGAGGACAUCAUUUCAGGCCAGACUCAAAAUCAGACUCCCUCAGGACAUGAAUCAUGUAAUUCUCCAACAUCUACUUAUGCUUUGGUGGAGUUUCAUACUGGACAAAAAUCCACUAAGACUGAAAACAUCCCUCAGCCAGAGACGGUGUAUGCUCAGGUUGACAGAGCGGUAAAGCCCAAUUCUACAGUCCAACAACAAACACCCAGAGCUGAAGAAAAUCAAUAACUGUAUUUAUAAUGAUCAACAGAGUUCACUGAUGUACCAUAUGUGCAAAACGUGGAUGUUCAUUUUACUGUGACCAAGAGAGAAACAUGUGAAUCAGAA